CUCUGAUAUUCUGCUGAGAGAUCAGACAGAGUCAUGUCGUUCUUCCACGGAUCUGAGCAAGCGGCGAGGCUUUUCCUGGCGAUGUGUGUGUGGGGAGUCUUCCUUCAGCCAGCAGAGCAGGUGUGUGUGAGAGAGAGAUCAGCCUGGAGGGCAGAAGGGAUCAUAGAGCUCAUUGUGUGUGACCCUUGAACACAAAAUCAGUCAUAAGUAGCACAGGUAUAUGUGUAGAAAUUGUUCAAGAGUGUCUGCUACAGAAAUACAAGUACUUUUGUAUGUGUGUAUUUGUGUUCAGUUUCCGGUGGGAGAGGGUUUCAAUCUGCUGUUGUACCCGGUAUCAGUGAUGGGGCCGUACGGAUCUCACACAGUUCUGAUACCAGUGACCGGGACUGAGCAGAACACACAGCGCAGCCAAACUCCACAGGCAAACAGCAGCAAGAUCAGUGCUCAAAGUGUGUCCAAGCCUUUACAUGCAAGCAGUGGGUUUCUCCAGCCGGACCCCACCCCUGACGCUGCCCCUAGCCCUGCCCGUGUCCUGUCUGAAUCUUUGCCUUUGCAGGGGCAGAUGUCAAAUUUUGUCUCCUCAAACGUUCCUCUGCAGGUCAGUCAGUGACCGUACUCUAUUGUUCAGUUGUCUUUAGUCAUUAAACAUUUUCUCAUUCUUUUACUCUAAAGUCAAACCUCACACAGUUUGUUAUUCCUUCACGUCUUUGUAGAGGCUCACUUUGGGUGUUUUUGUGUGAUUUUUAGGUCUAUUCAUUUGUCCAGCAGGCUGUAAUCGUAAGUUUGUUUGCACAAUUUCACAUCGGAUAAAAAUCUGUUUAUAAAUUGAAUUAAGACAUUGAUUAAUUUUUAUUUCAGUCAGACUCAGGCAGUUCAGAGGAAGGAGCCGCUGCUCAGGUAAACACACGCACACACACACACACACAAAGAUUCAUUGAACUAAAUGCAGCAGCUCGGCUUUCAACUGGGACUAAAAAGUAUGAGCACAUUACCCCUGUCCUAGCUUCACUAGAUUGGCUUCCUGUCCGCUUCAGGAUUGAUUUCAAGAUUUUAUUGUUUGUUAAAGCGCUGAGGUCAUCCAAUCAGGGGCUCCUCAAUGUACCGAGAACUAGGUUAAAAAAAUAAAGGUGACCAAGCUUUUCAGUUGUGGCACCUAAUUUGUGGAAUAGUUACCUGUACACAUAAGAACUGCUCAGACUGUUGGAAUUUUUAAGUCAUUACUUA
rnacentral:lncRNA from 1 species